AGAGUUUGAUCCUGGCUCAGAAUCAACGCUGGCGGCGUGCCUAACACAUGCAAGUCGAGCGAGAAAAGGGGGGCAACUCCCUGAGUACAGCGGCGCACGGGUGAGUAACACGUGGGUAAUCUGCCCUGAAGUGGGGAAUAACACCGGGAAACCGGUGCUAAUACCGCAUACGAUCACAGAGUCUGCGGAUUUUGUGAUGAAAGGAGCAAUUCGCUUUAGGAGGAGCCCGCGGCUGAUUAGCUUGUUGGUGAGGUAAUGGCUCACCAAGGCUACGAUCAGUAUCCGGUCUGAGAGGACGGCCGGACACACUGGAACUGAGACACGGUCCAGACUCCUACGGGAGGCAGCAGUGGGGAAUUUUUGGCAAUGGGGGCAACCCUGACCAAGCAACGCCGCGUGGGUGAUGAAGUCUCUUGGGACGUAAAACCCUUUCGACGGGGAAGAAACCGCAAGGUUGACGGUACCCGUAGAAGAAGCCCCGGCUAACUCCGUGCCAGCAGCCGCGGUAAUACGGGGGGGGCAAGCGUUGUUCGGAAUUACUGGGCGUAAAGGGUGCGUAGGCGGUGCUCUAAGUCGGUUGUGAAAACUCUGGGCUCAACCCAGAGCCUGCAUCCGAAACUAAAGUGCUAGAGUUCUGGAGGGGGUAGCGGAAUUCCUGGUGUAGCGGUGAAAUGCGUAGAUAUCAGGAGGAACACCGGUGGCGAAGGCGGCUACCUGGACAGAAACUGACGCUGAGGCACGAAAGCUAGGGGAGCAAACAGGAUUAGAUACCCUGGUAGUCCUAGCCCUAAACGAUGGAUACUUGGUGUGACCGGGAUUGAAUCCGGUCGUGCCGAAGCUAACGCAUUAAGUAUCCCGCCUGGGGGAGUACGGUCGCAAGGCUGAAACUCAAAGGAAUUGACGGGGGGCCCGCACAAGCGGGGGGAGUAUGUGGUUUAAUUCGACGCAACGCGAAGAACCUUACCUGGGG
rnacentral:rRNA from 1 species